GAAUUGGGCCACUUCCUCGCCGCGCGCUCUCUUCCCCUCGUGUCGCCAGAUCCAUCAAAAUUAGGGAUGGAUCAUGCAUGGGAGAGGGUACACAAUUGUUUUUUCCAUGUCUUUUAUAUAUAAGAGGUUUAGAUUGAUGCUACCAUUACAGGUAGGUAGCCCAUCAAAAUUAGGAUCCGGAUCACCCUUAUUUACAACGAAUAUCCUGAGACGCUCGGUUAGUGGUUGUAGUGAGGAACAAGC
rnacentral:lncRNA from 1 species